rnacentral:hammerhead_ribozyme from 1 species
AUGUAGCUGAAGAGUACCAGAUAGGACGAGAUGCGCAUCCUGGAU